rnacentral:tRNA from 2 species
GGGCUGAUAGCUUAGCCAGGCAGAGCGGCUGGCUCUUAACCAGCAGGCCGGGGGUUCAAAUCCCUCUCAGCCCG